rnacentral:rRNA from 1 species
CCUACGGGGGGCAGCAGUGGGGAAUAUUGCACAAUGGGGGAAACCCUGAUGCAGCGACGCCGCGUGAGUGAAGAAGUAUUUCGGUAUGUAAAGCUCUAUCAGCAGGGAAGAAAAAAGACGGUACCUGACUAAGAAGCCCCGGCUAACUACGUGCCAGCAGCCGCGGUAAUACGUAGGGGGCAAGCGUUGUUCGGAAUGACUGGGCGUAAAGGGUGCGUAGGCGGUUAUACAAGUUAGAAGUGAAAUACCCAGGGCUUAACUCGGGUGCUGCUCCUAAAACUGUAAGACUUGAGUGCAGUAGAGGG